rnacentral:rRNA from 1 species
GAUGAACGCUGGCGGCGUGCCUAAUACAUGCAAGUCGAUCGGGCGUAGCAAUACGCCAGAGGCGAACGGGUGAGUAACGCGUGGGCAACCUGCCCCUGAGCCCGGGAUAACAGUUCGAAAGGACUGCUAAGACCGGAUAUACUUGCGGUGAAGCAUUUCACUGCAAGGAAAGGGAACGCUCAGGGGAUGGGCCCGCGUCCCAUUAGCUAGUUGGUGAGGUAACGGCCCACCAAGGCGACGAUGGGUAGCCGGCCUGAGAGGGUGAACGGCCACACUGGGACUGAGACACGGCCCAGACUCCUACGGGAGGCAGCAGUUGGGAAUCUUCGGCAAUGGGCGCAAGCCUGACCGAGCAACGCCGCGUGAGUGAUGAAGGUUUUCGAUUGUAAAGCUCUGUCUUCCGGGACGAUAAUGACGGUACCGGAGGAGGAAGCCACGGCUAACUACGUG